rnacentral:rRNA from 1 species
UGACGCCUCGGGGGGCAGCAGUGGGGAAUAUUGGGCAAUGGGCGCAAGCCUGACCCAGCAACGCCGCGUGAAGGAAGAAGGCUUUCGGGUUGUAAACUUCUUUUAAGAGGGAAGAGUAGAAGACAGUACCUCUUGAAUAAGCCACGGCUAACUACGUGCCAGCAGCCGCGGUAAUACGUAGGUGGCAAGCGUUGUCCGGAUUUACUGGGUGUAAAGGGCGUGUAGCCGGGUUGACAAGUCAGAUGUGAAAUCCUGCGGCUUAACCGCAGAACUGCAUUUGAAACUGUUGAUCUUGAGUACUGGAG